UUGAUCAAAUCUGGCAAAACCGCGUCUAGCAUGCGCUGCCCAUCUCCCCUCUCCCGGUAGUAUUUCUCCAGUUCCUCCUUAUCGAUCCCGCAAAUUUUCAAGGUGGCCUCCAUGUAGUCCAUGUUCUGAGUCGAGUGCAUCGUAUUAAUCAAACAUGGACGCGUCGCGACGCCAGCGUCAGAUCAGACGGGGCGGACCCGCACAUCUGAGGUCGAUCUUUGCGCGCUAAGCCCUUCGCAAGUCAACGAAACCCGGUUUGUUUGGUGUGGGGCAUUAAUGAUAUCCGUCUUCUCCCUUGGUGGGUUCAGCAUGAACAUGUCGGGCGAUGGUAAGCAGAGAAGAAUUCCACUUUUAUGCAUGCCUGGCACGCUUGGCUUAUCGCCCCCAUUUCCUGCCAACGACCGUCUAAUUGCGCCUAUCAAAGCACUAAUUAGCAUGUAGUUGGCAGGCAAACCCUAAUCGCUGGCCUCAAAACGUCCUCAUUCCUUUCAAAGCCAGUUUCCGGGAAAAAUCCCUCUUCAUUAGCUGCUGAAUGCGCCGCUUUUGAACAACACAGCAAGUGUCCUUUCCAAUGCUUUGUUGCCAGUUAAGCCCUUUCGUUCCAGAGAAGGACUACAAGCAGAAGCUGAUCGCCUCUGUGAAGAAGGAGGUGAAGCAGGUGAUGGAAGAAUCGGUGACGCGGAAGUUCGUGCAUGAGGAAAGCGGGUCAGUGACGUCGCUGUGCGGGGCUGUGGAAAACUGUCUUUCUCAAGCCUCUCUCCUGUAGGGCUGAGGAGGCGCGCUUUGGGCCUGUUCAAAACCUCGUCCACCACAGCGCUGUUGCACAAAAUCGCCAAGCACUGUCCGGAGGCCGACCGCAUUUCCCAGAAAGUCCAGGAACUGGAAAACGUCAACGUGAAUCGCCGAUCCAGCAGCAGCAGCGACAGCGUCACCAAGCCCCCACUGAAGAAGAACUUCUCCUUCCCCACGUCGCCUUUGCCCAGAUACCUUUGGAUCAGGUAAAGUCCCCCUUCCUGCUAUUCCUAAAAAAUGAACGUAGUUAACUAGCCACAAAUAUUUUAAUUUCAGUUAUAGCUUAAUAUUUCAUGUUUCCGAAGCGUU
rnacentral:misc_RNA from 1 species